GGGAAGUGUCCAGUAUUUAAAAGUUCUGUCGUACAAUGUUUUCCGGUCCAAGCUGUCCUGUGAGGGAGGAGGUGACGAAAAACAAUAUUUAAUUUCGGCGUACCGUCUUCUGGGAUAACGCGUUAUUGCGGCAUAUUCUCUUAUUAUCGACCGUUUCUUUUACCGAGCGGAGAAACGAAAACGGUUACUAUCCGAGAUGGAGGCGGCGAUGUCGUCGGAAGAAUUAUAAUUUACGACGAAGCCGUUGCCGCCACUUCCACCGCCGCCACGACGACGACGACGACGACGACGACGACUACGCGCAGUCCAGAGAGACGGGUCUGUCAACCCAGUGACCGACUGGCGAGAGGCGACAGCCACCGCAAACGGCCUGAUUCACUCUCUCUCUCACCUCUACAGCCGUCCAUCAUUAAAACUAUUAUUACUACGGAGACGCUAUGGUGUAUGGAAUUUCAUUGUUGUCAUUAUUUCGGCGGCAGGUAGAAUAGACACAUAAAAAAAUAAAAAUAAAAAAAAAACCGAAAAAUAACGUCUAGAUUCAAUGUAAAGUGAUAUAGUUAUAAUAUUAUUAUGCGUACCUUUUUAUAUUAUAUGUUAUCUGUCUGCAUGGAAUAAUAAUAAUAACAAAGCGGCUCUCGAACGGCGAAAUUCAUUUUCGACACUGUUUAGAGAUUUUCGUUGUCGCUGCAAACGCGAUUUCAUUGCGAUAUCGUACGAUUCGCGACAAACUAUCGUGACGACCGCAAUGCCGACCUGAACUCAAACCAAGCAUGGCCAUCAAUGCAGUGGCGUAUUAAGAUUUUGGCGACUCGGGCCCGUUAAUAUUUAACGAAAUAG